AGUAACACGUGGAUCACUUGCCCUACACUGGGGGAUAAUCUCGGGAAACUGAGGAUAAUACCCCAUAAACCACUACGCCUGGAACGGUGAGUGGUUGAAAGCUCAGGCGGUGUAGGAUGGGUCUGCGGCGUAUCAGGUCGUAGGGGGUGUAAUGGACCUCCUAGCCAUCGACGCGUACGGGUUGUGGGAGCAAUAGCCCGGAGACGGAUUCUGAGACACGAAUCCGGACCCUACGGGGUGCAGCAGGCGCGAAAACUUCACACUGCAGGAAACUGUGAUGAGGGAACUCCAAGUGACUGCCCAAUGGGUAGCCUUUUCUUGAAUCUUAAUAGUUCUUGGAAUAAGGGCUGGGAAAGACCGGUGCCAGCCGCCGCGGUAAUACCGGCAGCUCAAGUGGUCGUCGCUUUUAUUGGGCUUAAAACGUCCGUAGCCUGUUUGGUAAAUCUGUGGGUAAAUCAACGAGCUUAACUCGUUGAAUUCUGCAGAGACUGCCAGACUAGGGACCGGGAGAGGUAUGAGGUACUCUGGGGGUAGGGGUAAAAUCCUGUCAUCCUCAGAGGACCACCUGUUGCGAAGGCGUCAUACUGGAACGGAUCCGACGGUCAGGGACGAAGCCUAGGGGCACGAACCGGAUUAGAUACCCGGGUAGUCCUAGGUGUAAACGCUGUGGAUUUGGUGUGUGGGGUCCGCAAUGGGCCCCAUGUGCCGGAGUGAAGAUGUUAAAUCCACUGCCUGGGGAGUACGGUCG
rnacentral:rRNA from 1 species